GAGCCCUGUUUAUUCUCCUUGGUGGUCAUGUUUAAUGGUGGGCCUGUUAAUCAGCAUGCAUAAGGCAAGUCAUUGAUUAAAACAGAGCCGCUGUCCUCAGGGAAUGAGGAAUGUGUUUGGUACAAUAAACUAUUUAAACAGAUAAUCUUCAGAGAAAACCCAAUGCUAAGAGAGUUUGUAUCGAUUCUGUAGGUAUCCAGAUAGGUGCAUCAAAAAGAAAAUUUUAUCACAUAUAAACACACACAUAUAUACAAAUGUAAAAGAUGUGUUUGUGCCGAAGCAUAUUUCCCAAUGCAGAUGGAUGAGCCUGAAGUAGUGAUGAGCAAUAUUUAGACGAUUAAUAUUCAGAGAAGUAGAAAGGAUGGAGGAUUCAUGCUGGAUCCCAGGAGAGGCUGACAUGGAAGAAAACAUUGGCUUGACGCAUAAUUAGGACCAUGCAUGCUGCUUUGAAAUGCUCCUGUCACCCCUAAAGUCCUCGGAAACUGUGACUAAGAUACUCCAGGAUGGCUACAGUAACGUAAAACUACAAGAUCCUUCCAUAGAAGACUGGAUCACUCAAAUGAGAACAUUCAACACAAUCUGAAAGGGGCUAUUUUACAUCUAAGAAUGCUCUGCUGUCAGAAAGAACACCAGUGUAUCUACUACCUGUAUAUUUUGUACCAAAGUAGUUGCUGAGUCACCAGGAACCCAUGACACCAUGUGUGCUGUAAUAGACUGAGAAGUUAUACAAAAGUCAGUGUACUUGUUCCAUUUUAACAGGUAUGGACUAGUUUAACUGAAAUGGAUUUGUAUCAGCAAAAUAGCCAAUAAGUGUAUA
rnacentral:lncRNA from 1 species